CAUUACUCAUUCUUUUCAACGCUUCCUUUACUUCCUGUUUCUGAAUCCGACGAUAGUACUUAUAGUUCUGGUCCUCUUCUCUUGUGUCUAGACUGCUAGAGUCAUAUCCAUAUCCAUCAUUAAAUAAGUUGUGGAAAUACGCCUUCCACCUUUCCUUGAUAUCUUUUUCAUGCACUAAGACUUUGCCUUCUUCAUCCUUAACACACUUUACUUGAUCCAAAUCUCUAGUCUUCCUCUC
rnacentral:lncRNA from 1 species